UACGUAGGGUGCGAGCGUUAAUCGGAAUUACUGGGCGUAAAGCGUGCGCAGGCGGUUUUGGUAAGACAGAUGUGAAAAUCCCCCGGGGCUUAACCUGGGAAUUGCAUUUGUGACUGCCCGGCUAGAGUGUGUCAGAGGGGGGUAGAAUUCCACGUGUAGCAGUGAAAUGCGUAGAUAUGUGGAGGAAUACCGAUGGCGAAGGCAGCCCCCUGGGAUAACACUGACGCUCAUGCACGAAAGCGUGGGGAGCAAACAGGAUUAGAUACCCCCAGUAGU
rnacentral:rRNA from 1 species